AUAUGCCAUGUUUUGAUUGAACUCGUGCCAUGCUUAGAUUAUGUCAUGAUCAAGAUGCUAUGCUAUGCCAGGUUUUGCCGUUGCCAUGUUAGAAGUAAAUUUGAUAUGCCAUGUUAUUUCCAUGUUAGUAGAUGCUAUGAUGUUGUUCAUGCUCAGUUGAUCUAUAUCAUGCCAUGUUUAGUAAUUGAUAUGAGAUAGGUUGAUGCAUACGCUUGGUUCCUGCUUUGUCUUCUGUUUGUUUGGAUGCUAUGUAUUUGGUUGUCUUGCAAGUACAUUCAAUAUACUGACCUGGCGUGUCAUGCCAGUUUUGUAGGUCGUGCUCGAAAUUUCGUUGUUUCGUCAUGCUAGGCCGUAAUCUUGUCAGUCCUGUGAGUUGUGGAGCCCAGCCAGAGUGAUAUGCUGCCAAGACUUCCGCCGCCAUUUAAAUAGACUUUUGCUGUCAUGUAAAUAGCCUUAGGGCUAUGCUAGAAGAUUAUAUUCAUCACUGAUGUAAUCAUAUACACAUGUAUUUGAUGAAUAUUCUUGUACCUGGAAUGUUGUAUCAUGGACCUGUCGUGCGUCACGUGUUAUCCUGGGCUGACGUGCGAAGGCCCCCUGUUCCAUGCGGAUCGGGGUGCCACAGGGCUUGGUACCAGAGCAGCCAGGCUGGCGUAGAUUAUCCGAGCAUUAGAUCACCGCUACCAUCAACCCAUAAUGAACCUAAGGGAUUUGACCCAUCCCUAGCAUCCGGCAUGGCCACUGUUAAUCAACAGGUGGCGCAGUUGGGACCGACACGACCUCACCCUGCUGUCCCCGCCUAGUUAUCCGUGGAACAUGCAGCAAUCCUAUCCUUUCUGGUCGGCCGCACCACUUUCCCUUCACCAGUAAGGGAAAGGGGCCACACCAUGCGGGCCUGUCCCGCGUAGCUGCCUAUGAAACCCCCUUUCCGCUAGCCGUUUCGCUCGCUCCUCAAUCCGCCAUGUCCCUGCAGAGAAGCUUAGCUAGUAACUCCCCAGUCAUGACUAGCAGCUCCAAAACUUCCACAUAUUACACCCGCACCUAUGCCGUCGACCACCCUGGCUUUCCACCCCUUCUUGCCGAGAUGCUCACCAAAGCCUUUGGCGGUAAGACUAGUCCCGAUUACCUGGUGUUCCAAUCGGCACCCGUCCCUCACCUUCAUCGCUUUGUUGCAAGAGUGCACAUCAGCCUAGGUCCUGCAGCAGAUGUCCAACCUUUGGUUUUAUAGGGUAGAGCCAUGCCUACCUCUGAUUUAGCCAUUCAAGCCGCUGCUGUGGAGGCUAUCCUACACCUCUGAACCAAGUUCCCGCAUGUUGCAACAAGGCGGGAGUUCUGCUUUUCCCCACUGUGGCAAAAGCAGUAAUGCAGCCUUCUCCCGUUAGCCAAGGAGAUGAUCCCGCAAUCGCUCGCCUGGUGCAAUACAUCACUGCCCAGGGGAUGUUGAUUUCAAAGAUGCUUGCCGAGUUUAGAACCAUGGACAAUAAUGUGGUACGAUUCGUCACGUAAGCUUACCGUGAGGCUCGUAAGUUCGCAUCUCAAGCUGUUUGCCCAACGCCAUCCGAACCAGUGCUAUCCUCUCAACCUGUGCUGUGGCCCAAGCCAAACAUCAUCACCCUUGACAAGGCUCUUCUCCAGAUCCACCAGCAUCAUUUUCCUGGAUCAAUUUCAGCCCCACCGCCCCAACCCAUAGAAGUGUCAGACGAUGAAGAUGGAGAUUGGCUUAGUCUUUGUCCUCCUGGUGAGCCCCAGCAAGGCCAGUCUUCUGUAUGACCUCAGUCACGUAGUCAGUGGUUCCUGCUAGUCGAUCGGUCUGUCGGUUCGUCCCCGAUAUGAGGACAGAACCAUGUAUUCCCGGAGUGAGUAGUUUCGAUUAGCGCGUAGCGCAUUUGUGCUUUGAUGUAUGUUGGUACUGUUGUAACCCGUAUGUUGUGUUAUUUGCUUGCUUGAUUUUGUUUGUGUGUUUGUUUUUGCUUGUCUCUCUGUCAAACAGAAAUGUUUGACAGGGUUGACAAUGUGUGCUAACAAGAUUCUAAUCAGUAUGACACAUACACUAAAAACAACAUUGACUCGUUCCGAGUCUCUAAUAAAAUGCGCGCUGGUGUAGGUAUAUGUAUACCAGGAUUACAUAUACCCACUAGCAUUAAAACACCUUAGUGUGAUUUGUCUGGUGUGUUUUUCCGUUGCAUGUUUUUGCAUCUAUCUGUUUGUUUAUAUUUUACUGCAUACUGCACGCAUACCCGGUUCACCCACGAGUACAGUUGAGCAGUACUCGGGGAAUGCAAAGUCACAUAUCCCCCUCUAUCUGUGCAUACCCCGUGUGACAGGUUUUCCAAACCCAGAACCUCAAAGAGGCCAUUGUCAUCUGGCCAUUUCUCCUCCCUUAUUCUUUUUCAUGAGCCCAAUUGUGUUUCCAGAGGAACACUGCCAGCUUUAUUUUUCGCGAUCCAUUACAACUCCCCGAUACAGAUUUCAACUCCGAUUCUACCUCGACACCUACAUUUCAUAGAGCAAUCCACGAAAUCUUUCCCGUGCCCUAGUUUAACUCCUAAGCUGGCGUAGUCACCGCACCUGCAUCCGAACCCUUCCCCACCACCAUCACUGCCUUGCGUGGCGCCGCAAGUCACCACCACCGCAGCACGCGAUUACUCCGCCGGCGCGAGGCGACGGAGAACCAAGCGUAGCGCAGGACCACCUCAUGCACCAUCUUCUUCCGCACCUCGAGCCACAACACCCCGCUACGCAUUGUCUCGAGCCCGCUCGUUCCUGAUGAGUAUCACUAGGAGGAUCGCCGAGCUGAUCAGCAUGCCCAGCAGUGCCGCGAAGAACAACCGUAGCGCCACCAAGAACACCUCCUCGCCGCAGGAUCUCGACUCAAUCUCGCCCAAACUGAAGAGGUAGUAGAGUGGCAUUGUGUUUGUGUGUUGGAAGCGAGCCGCGCUACCGUUUUUAUAGCCCAACCCUGGUGAACGGUGAGCUGAGUCCAGGAAAAUCGCUCGUCGCCCGAUCACCGGCGUCCAGGAGGCGAAUCCGCAAGCAGUGCCGACAAGGUGCUGGCCCACGACGUGAGUGCUCGCUGCACCGGCGUCGUGCACGUCGCGCACUACGUCUCUAGGGCCCUCAUCGCCCUAGGAGCUAGAUGCGCGCUGCACCAAGCCGCACGUGAAGUAGCAGCACAGGAGAAGCAGCUAGCCGGAGGUAGAAGAAGGAGGCUGCCAGUGGGCCCAGGACCCACGUGUCAGCAGGUGAAUCCACUGUUCACUGGGGUGCAUCUAGCAUUUUUUUGAGAGUUUGAUCUUGAAUGCCCCUAGCCGUGGAUAUAAUCAUAUUUGCCCAUAUCUCUCCUUGGGUGUACCAAUUAUCGGUGCCCCAACUCGUUCAAAUUCAACCAAAGGGUUAAAAUUAACCCAGAGAUUUUUUCCCCGGAGUGGUUAUGUUUUCUUUGUGCUGUAACCCUAGGAAUCUCGGGGACGAGAUUCUUUUUAAGGUGGGAAGGUUUGUAACAACCACAAAAUUGGGUUAUCAAUUUUUGUGUUGUUAUUCCUUCCUGGCACUCCUUUUCAAAAUCUUUCUCCUGAGUUUUGUUGGAUGACUCUGAGGCUUCUUGUCAUUUGCAACCUUUCAAAACUUGUUCAUGUCUUUUUUAGUGGGCAAGACCUCGGUUGCAGCAUCUUAAACCCUCUCAAACCCUAAUUCCAAAAAAAUUGGAAUUUGAAUGUGGCCUUUUUGAUUACAAAGCAGCCAUCAUUUUCCUUGAUCUGUUGCUCACCCCAUCUGUUCCUUGAGACCCCCUAUCCUUUUCAACCUUGGAUAUGCAAAAAUAUUGCCAAGUCCCAUGCAAUAUUUUUGAAUUAUGAUUUAUUCCUUUACUUGCCUUUCUGAGGAAUAAAAUCCAAAGGCAUAGCUAGCCAUCUCCUAAAUUCAUGUGAAUUGGUAGAGUUGAUAAUUAUGCCUAAUCCAAGCUCUGGCAAUUAUAUUGGCCAUAAUUAAAUAAGGAAAAUUGACUUUUCUUAUUUAAUGCCAAUAUUCCAAUUCUGCCAUUUUCUAAAGGAACUACUAUUUUUAUAGCAGAUAAAAUUCCCACAUAAAUUGUGGAGCUUGUCCUUGCUAUAUAAUCACUAGUUUCAUCUUUAUCUCAUGUUCCAUAGAUAAAAAUUGGGCACAUGAUCCAAUGCAAGAUUAUGCCCUCUCUGGAAUUUUGCAAAGGAAGUGCUUUAUUCCUAAUUCCUUAUGAGCUGAAAUUUGGUAGGGUGAUGAAUAUUGAUAAAUAACCCAUGGACACCAAAGAUGAACUCAAUCCAAUCAUCUUAGCUCCUAGUGCAAUUUUUCAAAGUUUCUGACCAGAUUGUCACUUUGUGAAGGAAGUACCUUCAUAGUGUUCUCAAAUGGGAUGCAACUUUGCCAUCUUCUCAUGUGUCCCAAAUCAUUAGCCUCCACCCAAAUUCAGCUCAUUUCAUUGAGCUAUGUGAGCACAGGAGCAAUUCUGGUUUUCUGUCCAAAAUUUCAGUUUGUGAAGCAAGUAUAUUUUAUCUUGCUCCAUUAUGUCUGAAAAUAGUACCAAGCCUUCUACUAUCCCUAUAACCCACCUACCCAAGAGUUUGGCUAAUUUCAUUUGGCCAAUAUUUUCCUAGAAUUUUCCCAAGUUUCUGGUCAAAAGUGAUGCUUGUGAAGCAAGCACCAAUUUGGCAAGUCCAUUUGGUCUGAUCUUUUUACAGCAUCUACUUAUGACAAAAUCAUGAGGAUUUGCAAAGUUAUAGCUCAAUCCAACACUCUGAGUGUCUGCUUGUUCAUCAUCUAGUUUCUGGACCAGAAUUGGUAAUUGCACCGCAACUAUAUUAAAUCUAUGUCCUAAUGAUCUCAUAAUUACCAGGACCAUAGUCCUUGCUACCCUAAGCCUGCCAGACAUCAAUUUUACCAUUUAACCUCUCUGGUUUUACCUCUAGGAUGUUGCCAAGUUUGCAGCAGCAAACUAGUGGAGCUUGGUUUACUCAGCUCCAUUUGUCUGUGCCCAAAUCUUUAUGUGGUAAUACUCCACUUUGGAAGGACUACACGGUAGACAUGAGCUGGCAUCAGUAAAAACUCCAGAGCAUGCCAUGUCCGUGGUGAUCACGAGGGCAGCCAGCCAAAACGAUGGUCUAGCCACUGUUGGCCUCGGCAUCAUUGCUCCAGCUGGAUUUGGCUCGUCCCCGCAUGUCCAGUAGCUCCGCCUCGUUGUUGUUGUUCGCCUGGACCCCGCCCCCCCCUCCAUUUUCUUCUCCGGCGAGCCGUGCCAAAGGUCGAAUAGUGAGCGCCCGUGUGCACCAUCGCCUUCCUCCUCUGUCUUCUUCCUCCCUGAGCCUCGUUGGUGUUUCGUUGCUCCGUGAGCCUCUGCUGCUCGGCUGCAUCCUCCUCUUUGCCUUCCCGCCGCUUCUCGUGCGCCCUCGUGACUGCUGCGGCCGGCAGAGCCUCAGCCGGAUGCGCUCGGCGGUGCCUGGCUUGGGUGCCCCUGUCUCGGCUAUUUAUAGCCAGCCCGAGCCCUCCUCGAGCAAGCCAGCCCCUCCCCUCUCCCUCUGGAGCCCUCUCAUACCCGUGCCCGGCCGAAUCCCUCGCUGGAGCCCGGCAAUUUAGCCGGAGUUCGUCCACGGCCUCCGCGCCAAACCCCUCCCUCCAGCCGUCCCCUGCCCCAUCCGAGGCCAUGGAUGGACGCGCCACUCUCCGACGACCGUCCCUAGCCUGUUGCCCCCCUCAUUCCCCCACCGGAGUCACCCCAAUCACCGAGCCCCGCCGUCCUCUAUCUCCUCCGUCGCCGCAUCUCCAAGCCCUACCCGCCAUCGUUCUACCCUUAGGUGGGCGCGGUGCACGCCGGCGACCCCUUCCCCGUUGCUCCCUGGUCGGAUAGCUCAUUGGAGCGACGAGGCUACGCCGGUGCCGACGCCCUUGCUUCUGUGUCGGGAAGCAGGGGAGAAGAAGGAGGAAUGAGGCGUUGACCUGGCCAGGCAGGCCAGGUGGGACCCGCGCUUUUGCCCCGACCCCACCUGGCAGCGACCCUGGCACCCGGCCCCGCCUCUGCCACUUUGACUGGUCCAAUGCCAUGUCAGAUAAGUGGCGGUGCCCACCGCAAAGCCGUUUUCCUGCGAUGAAAAUGUAUUCUUAGAAAGACGCGUUCUGUUUAAACUACCAGGGACCUGUUUGUAGAAAUAUUUUUAUAGAUUAGUCCCUAAGCUUUAAAUGUCCGUAUCUUUUCAAACGUAGCUCCAAAUCAGGUGAUUCCAAAGCCCAUGUCUUCGUUUUGUCGAGCCCUUUCUGAUGGAAUCAUUUUCACCAUGUUUGCACAUUCUAAAAAUGACCAUUUUGCCCUUGCCGUAAUCAGCCCCCCGAGAGAGAACUGUUCCCGGCAAAUCUUCCCGCGAUCGUUUCACACUUCUUCCCGGAGUAUUUGUCAACCCCCAGGCAAUCCAACCUCUUAUCAUGAGCCCCGAACUUGCAUGUUGACUUUGAUUGCAGCUUGUGUGUGUGUAGUUACAGUUGUUUACUAUCGUUUUCGUUUGCAGUCAUUUCAUUAUGCCUAUCAUGCAUGCUUGUGUUUUCAUGAUAUCUUUUGCCAUGCUAAUUAAAAUAUUGUUAUUGAUAAUGCCAUGUCACUACUCUACUUCAUUUUCAUGACAUCGUUAUAAAAUGCUAUGAUGAUUGUAAUCCACCGUGGAUAUGUUAGUACUUGGUAUUGUCAUGUUCUUUAUGUUGUAGUGGUUCACUUGAGAAGCUCAAUAUUUUAUUAAAGCAUUUGUAUGAUGUAUGCUCAUUGUUGCAUUCAUGUUCAUGAUGAUGGAGAAGGAAAUAAAAUGACUUCAUGAUAACAAACCUCCUCUGUCAUUGAUGGGAUUGAGUCAUAGUGCCACCAAAUUGAACUUUUCAAGUGCUGCCACAUUUGCCUUUAUGGGAAGGCCUUAAUACAAUCUAUUGUCGUGCCUCUCGUUGGUGCCUCCAAUGAGGGAAGGUUAUGGGCACGCGCUACCCUGGUCAGGUAGGCGGACAUAAGCCUUGUGUGCCCGUUGUUGUUGUUAUGGUAUCGGGUCUCCGUGUGGGAUCGUUUAUGUUUUGGCCACGACAGUGGUCGUUGUGUCUUUGGUAGACACGGGGCCACCUAGGACUAGCCCAAUGGGGAGUGAGUCGGAGUGGCCGGGAGAGUGUCAUGACCUUUGGUCGGUUUCAUCGGAAUGCCGUUGGUGCACCCGAAUGGGAUGACGAUGCCAUCGGUUCCAUGGUAUGGGUACAGUGCACUACCACUGCAGAGUGUUUAUAAAGUCUAUCGAUAGCAACACAGUUCAUAGUAGGUCAGACUAUUGGGUCUUGGUCGAAUGGAGGAUAAACCUAAAAUAAUUAAGCUAGUAAUGUGGUAACAAGAAUGUGGUGACUUGGACUUUGAGAUAGUCAUGAGAAGUCACGGCAAUGUUUGGAUAUGAUCACGAGACGAGGUCUCGGUGAGUGUUGGAGACCAAGUGUUGGUCAUGGUUGUCAUUGCCGAAAGGAUCACCGUUUAAGGCCAAAUAUUGGUCGUGGUUGUGAUCGCCGGAAAGAUCACGAGAUAUCACUAGUUAAGACCUUGAGGUUGGUACGUUUGUGAUCCAUGAGUGAUCACCGUUCGGUUGCAAGGAAAUCCUUUGGUAAGAGAGUCCGAGGGACUCGGUGCACAAGUUUGGUUGCAUUGCAUGAGUAGUAAGUUUUUAUUUGCAUUUAAAGAACCAUGGGAGAACAUGAGAUGAUUGAAUGAAGGUAGCAUGUUAUGUCUGCAUUGGAUAUGAUUGGUAGCUUAUUUUCAGAAUAGUUUCAGGAUACCAUGCUAUGUUUGGAUUGAGUAUAUGCCAUGUUUUGAUUGAACUGGUGCCAUGCUUAGAUUAUGUCAUGAUCAAGAUACUAUGCUAUGCCAGGUUUUGCCGUUGCCAUGUUAGAAGUAAAUUUGAUAUGCCAUGUUAUUUCCAUGUUAGUAGGUGCUAUGAUGUUAUUCAUGCUCAGUUGAUCUAUAUCAUGCCAUGUUUAGUAAUUGAUAUGAGAUAGGUUGUUGCAUACACUUGGUUCCUGCUUUCUCUUCUAUUUGUUUGGAUGCUAUGUAUUUGGUUGUCUUGCAAGUACAUUCAAUGUACUGACCUGGCGUGUCAUGCCAAUUUUGUAGGUCGUGCUCGAAUUGUUCGUUGUUCCGUCGUGCUAGGCCGUAAUCUUGUCAGUCCUGUGAGUUGUGGAGCCCAGCCAGAGUGAUAUGCUGCCAAGAC
rnacentral:lncRNA from 1 species